GCGGGCGGGAGAGGAAGAAAAGCGAAGCUGCUGCGCCCUCCCCUCCCCCAUCUGCGCCCUCCGCUCCCCCCAUCCCGGUCAUGGUAUGGAGCCGUCCCGUGGCGCCGCUGGCGGCGCGCGGCGGUGGGGGGAGGCGGAGACCGAGGGCGAUGCGGCGGAGGAAGGGAGACGAGCGGAGGACGGCGGCGAGGUGAGCCUACGGGAGUGGCUGGACCGACCAGGCCGGGCGGUGGAGGCGGCGGAGUGCUUGCACGUGUUCAGGCAGGUGGCGGAGGCGGUGGCCGUCGCGCACGCACCGGGGGUGGUCGUGGGCAGCGCGCGGCCGUCGUGCUUCGUCGUGUCGCCGCCCUUCGCGCGCGUCGCCUUCAUCGAGUCCGCCUUCGGCUCCGAUGCCUCGGGUUCGUGCUCGGGCUCCGACGCCGACCCAGAUGCCUCGCCUCCGCGGCGAGGGGACGGCGCCGGACGCGGCGAGGAGCGCGCGGGGAAGUCCUUCCCGCUCAAGAGCGUGCUGGCCAUGGAGCUCAACUGGUACACCAGUCCCGAGGAGGCGGACGACAGCGCCGCUACCUUCGCCUCUGAUGUCUAUAGACUGGGUGUGCUCUUGUUCGAGCUGUUCUGCACAUUCGAAACGAUGGAGGACAAGAUGCGGGCAAUGGCGACCGCGAAUCUGAGGCACCGGGUGUUGCCGCCACAGUUGCUGCUCAAAUGGCCCAAGGAAGCAUCUUUCUGCCAGUUGCUAAUGCACCCUGUGCCAGAAACCAGACCGAAGAUGAGGUGCGUCGUGUGCUGUGUACUAUUUUUGUUUCUGCCAGUUGCUAAUGCGUCUCCUCAAAGCUGGGAACUGAUUUGUUUGUUAGUAUAUGUGUUGUGGUCGUACACUCCAUAAGACAGAACGUGGAUUGACAGACACGAGCAUGCAGUUGUUUGAAGAUCAAGCUAGCCUGGGAAAUUGGCUGAAUCUUGCAGAUAGGAAAACCAAUAUUCAUGGGGCAGUAAGAAACACUAGAAUUAAAACAAACACUUAGUAUGCUCCGUAGGGUUUGACCGAGAUAGAGAGUUUUUUUGCAACUGCUGGUGUAAAUAAGAAGAUAAAAGUGUUUGAGUAUAAUAUGAUUGUAAAUGAACACCGUGAUAUUCACUAUCCUGUGGUAGAGAUGUCUAAUAGAUCAAAACUGAGUUGUAUUUCCUGGAACAGUUAUAUGAAGAGCCAUAUAGCAUCUAGAGAUUUUGAGGGUAUAGUGCAGGUAAGUUCUGUGGCAUGUUUUUUAUAACUAAAUUGUAUUUGAUGCAAUUACCAUAAUAUCCCUGUAUUUUCAGGUUUGGGAUGUUACUAGGAGUCAAGUUUUUGUUGAGAUGAGGGAGCAUGAGUGACGUGUGUGGUCGGUGGACUUCUCAAUUGUGGACCCAACAAAAUUGGUCAGUGGGAGUGAUGAUGGAUCUGUGAAGCUAUGGGAUAUGAAUCAGGCUGGGAGUAUUGGCACUAUUAAAACAAGGGAAAAUGUGUGUUCUGUGCAAUUUCAACCUGAUACUGCUCGCUCCAUUGCCAUCGGCUCUGCUGACCACAAAAUUUACUGCUAUGAUCUACGUCACAUACGAGCUCCUUAUUGUACACUAGUUGGGCACACAAAGACUGUAAGCUAUGUUAAGUAUCUGGAUGCAUCGACAAUAGUAUCUGCAUCUACUGACAACUCAUUGAAGCUUUGGGACUUAUCGAUGAGUCCAGGAAGGAUAAUUGACAGUCCAGUUCAAACAUUUAAGGGGCAUACAAAUACAAAGCAAGGUCACUGGAGUUGACGAAGCUAAAGCUGAACUUGAGGAAAUUGUUCACUACCUACGAGAUCCUAAGGCCGCACUUGAAGAAAUCUUAUAUCAGUUUGAGGAAAAACUCCAAGCUGAAAGAGAGGAAGCUGCUAGGAAGCAGGAAGAGUUGCAAGCACAAGUACAAGCUCAACAGGCCGCAUUUGAAGAAAACCAAAGUUUGCUGCGCCAGGCCAAGCACAACUACCUUGCUAGAACAUAUCUGUGGUUAGAACUUUGUCAGAACUACGUGCAAUCUGUUUGAAUGCUUCAAACCUUUGUGGUGGAACCUUUGUAUGUUUGAACCUCUGUUGUGGAAGAACUAGUGUGCUGGAAUUGUGUAUGACUUGUGAUGA